UGCGAAUCUGUGGACGCUGCCAGAGCGGCGAUGAUCGAUGAGCGGCCGUGGUUACGGCGACAGGGACGACACGACGAAAACCGAAACUCUUCACCGGGAGGCGGAACUCACGCCCAUGGGACUCCAGACCCUAGGCCGGGAGGAAGCCCAUUUUUCCUUGCGUGCCUAGAACCUGGCAGCCUUGCGGGGCCGAGGAGAUCCCGACAGAUCCUGCCUCCCGGAUAAGGUCUUGUGUGGGCCAUUGCUUGUGCUGCAGCAGCAGUCGGGAGAGGCAGGUCCAGGCCUGGGCCCUCGCCCCCCACUGCUAGUUGUAUUGCAUUGUGGCAAACCACCUGCUAGGCCGCGGUAGCAGCAUUUCUGCUCAGGCAAUGCUGGAGCCCCGAGUAUGACAGUUCAGCCCAUCGCCCGGACCCCUCUGACCACUCCUGCUGCCGUUGCAAGGGGCCCGCUCUUCUUCUCAGUCUUGGUGCUCUGGAGCUGGCCUGUGUGCACAGGUUGGCAGCCUGUCCCGCGCCUAGACCUCCUGUUUUACAGCCUGUGCAUGGCUUUCAACUCCUUCCACUAACACUGUCUUGGUUUUUGCUUCAAGCUUAUCCUAAAUGAUACAGCCCUACCCACCCCUGCAACAUGUUAAUAAAGCUUCCAGUGUAUAUUUA